GACAAGUGAAUAAGUGCACAUGGUGGAUGCCUUGGCGAUUACAGGCGAUGAAGGACGUUGUAGCUUGCGAUAAGCUGCGGGGAGUGAGCAAACACACUUUGAUCCGCAGAUUUCCGAAUGGGGAAACCCGGCCCUUUGGGUCAUCGCAUACUGAAUACAUAGGUAUGCGAAGCGAACGCGGCGAACUGAAACAUCUAAGUAGCUGCAGGAAAAGAAAUCAACCGAGAUUCCCAAAGUAGCGGCGAGCGAAAUGGGAUGAGCCUUGUACGUGAUAGUCGAUCGGAUAGUGGAAUGCUCUGGAAAUGGCAGCCAUAGCGGGUGAUAGCCCCGUACACGAAAUCCGGACGGUGGUACUAAGCGUACGACAAGUAGGGCGGGACACGAGAAAUCCUGUCUGAAGAUGGGGGGACCAUCCUCCAAGGCUAAAUACUCGUAAUCGACCGAUAGUGAACCAGUACCGUG
rnacentral:rRNA from 1 species